rnacentral:rRNA from 1 species
UACGAAGGGGGCUAGCGUUGCUCGGAAUUACUGGGCGUAAAGCGCACGUAGGCGGCUUUUUAAGUCAGAGGUGAAAUCCUGGAGCUCAACUCCAGAACUGCCUUCGAUACUGGAAGACUCGAGUCCGGGAGAGGUGAGUGGAACUGCGAGUGUAGAGGUGAAAUUCGUAGAUAUUCGCAAGAACACCAGUGGCGAAGGCGGCUCACUGGCCCGGUACUGACGCUGAGGUGCGAAAGCGUGGGGAGCAAACAGG